GUUACGUGAGGACACAGUUUCGGAUAUUCUGUUAUAGCAGCACAGAAUGGACAAAGGUUAAGUUAUCCCAAGUGAGUCCAAUUAAGGAAAUCUCGUGUAUCUCCUUAAACUGUGAACAGACAUGUUCAAGAAGGUUCUAUGACGUCUUGGAGCGCUCUUCCUUGACUUGAUUGUAUUUGAGGAAUGAAAAAUUAAGACCUGUGUCUCUGGACAGAGCUGCAGAGCUACAUCAUGACUCUUGGGUUUCAUUUAAGACAAGGAGCCCAUUCUGGAAAUCAACGCAUGCCUGCCCCUACUCACUAAUUAAGCAGACAGCUGGGAGUGGAUGGGGCUGAAGCCUGGAAUUUGCCCCUCCUCCUCAUACUCCUGUCUCAGGUGAGGUGUAUUUUGCUGGUGUGGUCUCCACUGCUGGGAUUCCUGAACCUUUUGCCCAGAGGAUUUCAGAAGGCAGCCUUUGGAUGCAUGUUCUAAGCAGACUUCGUUGUAACUGAAGGCUGGCCACCCCGGGAAGUCUCGGACAACGACGUGUUUCUCGAGGUACUUUCUUCCUCAUCGGACAACUCGCACUGCAUCUUUUUGUCUUCUUCAGAGAGGCGGUCCACAAGCUUUAAGGUCUCACCACUAAUUCCCUUAAAAUAUUCAAUGGAAUGUUUACAUACUUCCUUGAGCUGACUUUUCCUAACUUUA